rnacentral:tRNA from 1 species
GGCCUUAUCGUCUAGCGGUUAGGACGUGGCGUUCUCAACGCCAAAAUAGGGGUUCGAUUCCCCUUGAGGCCACCA